GGGCCCGCACAAGCGGUGGAGCAUGUGGUUUAAUUCGAUGCAACGCGAAGAACCUUACCUACUCUUGACAUCCUGCGAAUUUGGUAGAGAUACCUUAGUGCCUUCGGGAACGCAGAGACAGGUGCUGCAUGGCUGUCGUCAGCUCGUGUUGUGAAAUGUUGGGUUAAGUCCCGUAACGAGCGCAACCCUUGUCCUUAUUUGCCAGCGCGUAAUGGCGGGAACUCUAAGGAGACUGCCGGUGACAAACCGGAGGAAGGUGGGGACGACGUCAAGUCAUCAUGGCCCUUACGAGUAGGGCUACACACGUGCUACAAUGGUCGGUACAAAGGGUUGCCAACUCGCGAGAGUGAGCCAAUCCCGAAAAGCCGAUCUCAGUCCGGAUCGGAGUCUGCAACUCGACUCCGUGAAGUCGGAAUCGCUAGUAAUCG
rnacentral:rRNA from 1 species